rnacentral:rRNA from 1 species
UGGAUACGAGAUGCUACGGCGUCGAAGCAGUCUAUGUCAUACUUCCAAGAAAAGCUUGCACUGUCAUAAACAAAUAAUGCCUGUACCAUAACCGACACAGGUGGGUAGGUAGAGUAUACUAAGGGGCGCGAGAUAACUCUCUCUAAGGAACUCGGCAAAAUGACUCCGUAACUUCGGGAGAAGGAGUGCCUUAUUUAUAAGGUUGCAAUAACAAGAUCCAAGCAACUGUUUAUCAAAAACACAGGUCUCCGCUAAGUCGUAAGACGAUGUAUGGGGGCUGACGCCUGCCCAGUGCCAGAAGGUUAAAGAAGUUGGUUAGUGUAUGCGAAGCUGAUGACUGAAGCCCUGGUGAACGGCGGCCGUAACGAUAACGGUCCUAAGGUAGCGAAAUUCCUUGUCGGGUAAGUUCCGACCCGCACGAAAGGCGUAAUGAUUUGGAUACUGUCACGGAGAGAGGCUCGGUGAAAUAGACUUGUCUGUGAAGAUGCGGACUACCUGCACCAGGACAGAAAGACCCUAUGAAGCUUUACUGUAACUUGAAAUUGGAAUUGGACUUUGCUUGCGCAGUAUAGGUGGGAAGCGUUGAAGAUAUUCUUGCGGGAGUAUUGGAGCUAUCAGUGAGAUACCACUCUUGUAAUGUUAGAUUUCUAACUUUGAACCAUAAUCUGGUCAAAGAACAGUUUCAGGUGGGCAGUUUGACUGGGGCGGUCGCCUCCCAAAUGGUAACGGAGGCGUACAAAGGUUUCCUCUGAACGGAUAGAAAUCGUAUCUAGAGUGUAAAGGCAUAAGGAAGCUUGACUGUGAGACCUACAAGUCGAGCAGGGACGAAAGUCGGUCUUAGUGAUCUGACGGUACUGAGUGGAAAGGCCGUCACUCAACGGAUAAAAGUUACUCUAAGGAUAACAGGCUGAUCUCCCCCAAGAGUUCACAUCGACGGGGAGGUUUGGCACCUCGAUGUCGGCUCAUCGCAUCCUGGGGCGGUAGUACGUCCCAAGGGUUGGGCUGUUCGCCCAUGAAAGCGGUACGCGAGCUGGGUUCAGAACGUCGUGAGACAGUUCGGUCCAUAUCCGGUGUAGGCGUUAGAAUAUUGAGAGGAGCCUUCUUUAGUACGAGAGGACCGAGAAGGACACACCGCUGGUGUACCAGUUAUCGUGCCAACGGUAAACGCUGGGUAGCUAUGUGUGGAGUGGAUAACCGCUGAAAGCAUCUAAGUGGGAAGCCCACUUCAAGAUGAG